rnacentral:rRNA from 1 species
AUGAACGCUGGCGGCGUGCCUAAUACAUGCAAGUCGAGCGAACAGACGAGGAGCUUGCUCCUCUGACGUUAGCGGCGGACGGGUGAGUAACACGUGGAUAACCUACCUAUAAGACUGGGAUAACUUCGGGAAACCGGAGCUAAUACCGGAUAACAUGUUGAACCGCAUGGUUUAACAGUGAAAGACGGUCUUGCUGUCACUUAUAGAUGGAUCCGCGCCGCAUUAGCUAGUUGGUAAGGUAACGGCUUACCAAGGCAACGAUGCGUAGCCGACCUGAGAGGGUGAUCGGCCACACUGGAACUGAGACACGGUCCAGACUCCUACGGGAGGCAGCAGUAGGGAAUCUUCCGCAAUGGGCGAAAGCCUGACGGAGCCACGCCGCGUGAGUGAAGAAGGUCUUCGGAUCGUAAAACUCUGUUAUUAGGGAAGAACAAAUGUGUAAGUAACUAUGCACGUCUUGACGGUACCUACUCAGAAAGCCACGGCUAACUACGUG